UCGCCCCGUUUUUUAUAGAUGGGUUCUAUUCCCAAACCGUGUAUACAUACCUUUGUUGCUUUGGCAGGCCGCCUCCGGGCGUCGGCUUCGGCUGAUUAGUGCCUGCCAGAGGACCCAAACUCGUUUGUUUAGUGAUGUCUGAGUACUAUAUAAUAGUUAAAACUUUCAACAACGGAUCUCUUGGUUCUGGCAUCGAUGAAGAACGCAGCGAAAUGCGAUAAGUAAUGUGAAUUGCAGAAUUCAGUGAAUCAUCGAAUCUUUGAACGCACAUUGCGCCCCUUGGUAUUCCGAGGGGCAUGCCUGUUCGAGCGUCAUUAUAACCACUCAAGCUCACGCUUGGUAUUGGUGUUCGCGUGCUCGCGGCCCUUAAAAUCAGUGGCGGUGCCGUCUGGCUCUACGCGUAGUAAUUUCUCUCGCGAUGGAGUUCUGGCGGUUGCUUGCCAAAACCCCCCUAUUUUCUCAGGUUGACCUCGGAUCAGGUAGGGAUACCCGCUGAACUUAAGCAUAUCAAUAAGCGGAGGA
rnacentral:rRNA from 1 species